GCCUUCGUGGUGUAGUGGUCAGCACGCUCGACGCGUAUUCGAGAGGCCCGUGGUUCGAUUCCCGACGAGAGCA
rnacentral:tRNA from 1 species